UACGAAGGGGGGCUAGCGUUGUUCGGAAUUACUGGGCGUAAAGCGCACGUAGGCGGACCGGACAGUCAGAGGUGAAAUCCCAGGGCUCAACCUUGGAACUGCCUUUGAAACUAUCGGUCUGGAGUUCGAGAGAGGUGAGUGGAAUUCCGAGUGUAGAGGUGAAAUUCGUAGAUAUUCGGAGGAACACCAGUGGCGAAGGCGGCUCACUGGCUCGAUACUGACGCUGAGGUGCGAAAGCGUGGGGAGCAAACAGG
rnacentral:rRNA from 1 species